rnacentral:piRNA from 1 species
UAUCACGCAGCAAAUACUGAGCAACUCC